rnacentral:snoRNA from 1 species
UAACCAUGUUGAGGGCAUCUUCUUAGUAAAUCCUUGAAUCUCUCCCAAUCCUCAUAAAAUGGUUCUAAGUUU